rnacentral:misc_RNA from 1 species
AUAUAUCAACCUUCUCUUGUUGAGUGGUUUGGAUGUGGGGGUUUGCUGGCCUUCUAAAAGGUUUUCAGCUCCCCUGAAAUGCAUUAGCGGAAACAACCCUGUUCAUUGGUGUGAUAAACUAUCUACGCUACUGAAUGUGAAGGGGCAGUUUGGCUUUCUAACGGUCCUCGGACAGCUCAUCAUUAA